AUUGAACGCUGGCGGAAUGCUUUACACAUGCAAGUCGAACGGCAGCACGGACUUCGGUCUGGUGGCGAGUGGCGAACGGGUGAGUAACAUAUCGGAACGUAUCCAAUAAUGGGGGAUAACUAAUCGAAAGGUUGGCUAAUACCGCAUACGCCCUACGGGGGAAAGCAGGGGAUCUUCGGACCUUGCGUGAAGGGAGCGGCUGAUAUCUGAGUAGCUAGUUAGGGAGGUAAAGGCUAAGCAAGGCGACGAUCAGUAGCUGGUCUUGGAGGAAGAACAGCCACAGUGGUACUGAGACACGGUACAGACUGCUACGGGAGGCAGCAGUGGGGAAUUUUGGACAAUGGGCGCAAGCCUGAUCCAGCCAUUCCGCGUGAGUUAAGAAGGCCUUCGGGUUGUAAAGCUCUUUCGCAAGGGAAGAAAACUUACUUUCUAAUAAAGAGUGAGGUUGACGGUACCUUGAUAAGAAGCACCGGCUAACUACGUGCCAGCCGCCGCCGUAA
rnacentral:rRNA from 1 species